UCAAGUGUUGUUCAGAGUUGGGUUUGAUUGUUCAUGGAAAUAUUUAUCAGCAAGAAAACAGUAUAUGUGAAAUUAUUCCUUUAAGAUUUUUUUCCCCUGAAGACUUCAUUUGCAUGAAUAUUUUUCUAAGAAUAAUGCUUCAGUGAAAGAAAUACAUUUGACAUGUGUGUUAGCCGUUCUGUGAGGCCUAAGAGCAAUAAUGAUGCGUGAACCCUAAAAAUGCAAAGGAAUUAACAAUGUAGAUUGUGCUGCUUCUAGACCUUGAGACCAGUAUGAGACGCUGUGAUAAUAUGUGAAAUAUUAAAAGUUAGAAAACCUGUCUUUAAAGAGUCAGCAUUCUGGUUGAAGAAAACAAAUACAGAGUUGGAGAUAAAAAUAACAGUGAAAGCAAUAAUAGUAAUAAUAGCUAAAAACUAUUGAUUACUUCCCACCAUAUGCAAAAGACUAUUCCAAGACCUUGACUUGAAAUCAUUUAAUCCUGUCAAUACACAUCAGAGGUGGACACUUAUUAUUCCCAUUCCACAGACACAGAAACGAAGCCCAGGCUCACACAACAGAAAGUGGCAGAGCUAUAAUUUGAAUGUGGACAACUAGGCUAUAAGUCCUGAGUUCCUGUCCAUUAUAGCAGCACUUAGAAAAUGAUGCACAAAGAAACUGUACUGGAAGCUCCUCGAAGGUAGGGGCCAUGAAAAUAUAGCCUUUUUGCCUCUGCAAAUUAUAUAUCACUGUGCGAAGAACAUAGUAAGUACAUAGUUGUUUAAAGAUUCGUUCAUGGAACCAAGCCUCAUGGAGCACAGUUUAAAUUUUCCAGGUAUCUCCAGCUAUUGGGUCUAUGCAAUUCCCCUCCUAGUAUAAGAAGGAAGAGGACCGAAUGUGUUGAAAUACAGGUUUUAUAAACUCCUCCCUUGCUCUUCAUGUAACUUUUACCUACAUUUCUAUGUUCUUUGGUGAGGCUCCAACAAAAGCUGAGAAUCAUCCACUACAGCUGCAGGAUAAAAAUGGCCAGGUAACAUCAGGAAAGACGCGGGUGCCCCUCUUCUUAGCAUCCUUCCUUCAACAUUCACUUCCCUAUUUUUUCAGCAAAGAUGCUAUUUUGGCAGUAUAUUUCUACAAAGAACGUGUGAACAUAUGUAUUCAAGUAUAAUUUAAUAAUCAGUGGGACUUUCAAACCCUGUUCCUUAGAUUGAUCAGUUAUUAUCUUAGCCAAGCAUCAUUUGAUAGCAGGUAGAUAACCCCCAAAGGGGAGUUCCUUUCAAAGAUGCAGAAACAGUCCAUGGAGGCUAAAGGCAGUAAGCGUAGCUGGAUCUCAAAAAGAGAGGAAUGAAAACCCAGGGUCUUGAGAUCUCCUCAAUUCUUGUUUGUUUGGUUUCAUUCUUCAGUCUCUCUGCAGAAAGAUGCUUCUAUAGCUCAAGUGUCAGAAAGUAGCCAGCCACCCAGAUACACCUCACUGUCCAUUCUGCAUUAGGCAGUAACCACAGUCCUGGCUUUAAAAGUUCGUGGAUGACAGGACUUUAUCAGCGAUCAUAUCCCGGAUUUUGCCUGGGGGCCGACCCACCAGGGCUAAGGGGGAGGGUCACCCUAGGAGACAAUUAUCUCCUCACGCCACACCAAUCCAAUCCCAAUAUCUCGGGAGUAGGAUUCAGAAUCACCUUUCUAGCUUCUUGAGUGAUUCCAACGUGCAGCCAGGUGUGACAAACACAGGCUGAGGCCAAGUGAGGUACUCAGAACAGAGGAAUCAACAUUGCCUGGUAGCUUCUUAGAAAUGCAGAAUGCCCCAGAACUACUGGAUCAGAAUCUUAACAAAAUCCCCAGGUGAUUUUUAUGCACAGGGAAAGCUGAGAAGCACUGCAGUAAACACAUAUCAGAGCUGGUGGGGAGUGACUGUCAUAACUCGAGUUAUAUUUUCACCAAAACUAAAGGUGAAUUCUUAUGUCCUUCAGUAUUUCUGAGAUGUGUAGAGUUUCUGUGAAAGGACAAACCAGAACAUCAAGGAGGGAUGUGUGGAUAAACAUCAUAAAGACCAAAGUCAGAAGAAGUCUCUGCAAAGGGGAAACGAGGAUACCUGAGUCAGCACCUAACAUUGAACGCAGCCACGCCAACCCUGGCGUUUAUCACUAAGGGGGGCCCUAGCUCACCAUUCUCAUUAGGUUUUACUUUAACUCAGAAGCCCCUUCACCUUGACUCAGGCAUAGCAAUUGUGUCCUGCUCUUGAAGUACAGGUGUUUCAGGAAAAGGAGCUGAUGUAGAGACCUCGUGUUGGGGCUUCGGCCUCAUCUUAACGGUGCGUGUAUGAGAGUCACAGCGGCGGAAGCGGACUGCGCAUGUCACAGCAUAAGAGCGGGUGGCGGUAUCCCAGCACACUGCUGGCUCAGGAGCACGGUUAUGGCUGGGGCAGCUAACUGAACGGUAUUAGAGAGGAAGACUUCCUAGACAAAGUAUUAGCGUAACUAAAAAAGAAAGAGGGUUAGCAAGCCAGCCGGUUGUGGUUUAAUAAACUAUUCCCAUCAAAAACGCCCUAUGGAGAUCACCUCUGUGCUUUGUGACCAUGAGAGGGGAGGGAGGGAGACGCAAGAGGGAAGAGAUAUGGGAACAUAUGUAUAUGUAUAACUGAUUCACUUUGUUGUAAAGGAGAAACUAACACACUAUUGUAAAACAGUUAUACUCCAAUAAAGAUGUUAAAAAAAAAAAACGCCCUAUGAUACAGCUAUCAUGCUUAUGCUUUGAAAGAAUUUGUAAGUUACAGGAAAGACUUCCAACAGAAGGAGAUAAGAAAAAGUCAGGAUAUAGAAAUUCUCAUAUAUGAUUUCUGUGGGGCUGGAGAAAAUGGAAGGAAGUGAGGACAAUUUAAAAUAUGGUGAUUAUAGUUAAUAAUAAUGCAUGCUUGAAAUGUGUUAAAGAGAGUAGAUCUUAAGUGUUCUCACCAUACACACAAAAAAGGUAACUCUGUGAGGUGAUGUAUACGUUAAUAUGCUUGAUUGUGGUAAUCAUUUCACAAUGUACACAUGUAUCAAACCAUCACGUCGUAUACCUUAAAUGUAUAUACAAUCGUUAUGUGUCACUUAUACCUCAGUAAAGCUGUGUGUUACCUACACAUUUAGAACCGUUGCAUUCCCCUGUGAAAUAACUCUUCUAUCAGCAUAAAAUGUUUUUCUUUAUCUAUACAAUCUAUAUUGAUAUAUGUUAGUCAAAUUUAACCAGUUUUGUUGAGAGUUUUAUUAUAUAUUUUUUCCAUAUCUUUACUUUCAAUCUCUCUGUAUUUUUAUCUUUAAGUUGUUUUUCUUUGAACGUUAUACAGUUGCACAUUUUAUCCAAUUUGGUAUUACCUGUCAAGUGUAAUAUUUGACUACUUAUGUAUGUCUUACUGGAUUUAAUGGGCUUUAUUGAUAUGUUUGGGUUUAUGUCUACCAUAAAACUAUUGAUAGCCUAUUUGUCUUAUCCAUUUUAUACUUAUUCUUCUCUGUUCCAUUGUCUUCUUUUGACAACAGAGAGUCUAGGUUGUUUUCUACAAUUUCUCCUUUGCAGGCUCUGAACUCUAAUUUCUCAGUCCGUAGCACCAUGAAAAAGGUAGAGGGGAAAAUAAAACUGUUUUACUUUUCA